rnacentral:rRNA from 1 species
AGAUUGAACGCUAGCGGGAUGCUUUACACAUGCAAGUCGAACGGCAGCGCGGACUUCGGUCUGGCGGCGAGUGGCGAACGGGUGAGUAAUAUAUCGGAACGUGCCCAGUAGCGGGGGAUAACUACGCGAAAGCGUGGCUAAUACCGCAUACGCCCUACGGGGGAAAGGGGGGGAUCGCAAGACCUCUCACUAUUGGAGCGGCCGAUAUCAGAUUAGCUAGUUGGUGAGGUAAAGGCUCACCAAGGCGACGAUCUGUAGCUGGUUUGAGAGGACGACCAGCCACACUGGGACUGAGUCACGGCCCAGACUCCUACGGGAGCAGCAGUGGGGAAUUUGGACAAUGGGGGAAACCCUGAUCCAGCCAUCCCGCGUGUGCGAUGAAGGCCUC